UUUUCCUACGGGGGGCAGCAGUGGGGAAUAUUGCACAGUGGGGGAAACCCUGAUGCAGCAACGCCGCGUGAAGGAAGACGGUUUUCGGAUUGUAAACUUCUUUUCUUAGUGAAGAAGCAAGUGACGGUAGCUAAGGAAUAAGCAUCGGCUAACUACGUGCCAGCAGCCGCGGUAAUACGUAGGAUGCGAGCGUUAUCCGGAAUUACUGGGUGUAAAGGGAGCGCAGGCGGGACUGCAAGUUGGAUGUGAAAUACCGCCGCUUAACUGCGGAGCGGCAUACAAAACUGUAGGUGUUGAGUGGGGGG
rnacentral:rRNA from 1 species